GUUUUACCGAGUGGUAAACUUAAGGGAGAAAAUGGUCAGAUUUACCAGAACCCAGUCACCUGGCUCAAGGAGCUCCUGGGAGGUGGCAGUUAUGUGACCUGGAAUUAUGCUUGGAAUACGGUAACAUACCUUGGAAGGGAACUUGUGAAGUGUGUUUCUGAAGAGGCGCCCAUGUCUGCAGAACUGAACCCACCUCAGCUCCACCAGCCUCACCUCUCAGGUAAG
rnacentral:lncRNA from 1 species